UCUAUAUAACCCGUUUGUGUACAAAAUGCGGUUUAUUACACACAGGUACAGUAUGCUGGACGCAUCCACUCACUGACAUCGCAUCAUUUGCAGAGGAAUUCCACUUGCGUUCUCCUUGGCUGGCUGGCAUGGCUGUUCAUCUUUAAUAAGAUCAGUGACAUCGUUGAUUAAAACCUGAUUUGCAAUCAAAGGAGCCAGUCUCUCCCGGCAAGCCUCCAGACUGGACAAGAUGAUUUGAUGAGUCUGUUUCAGCGAAUCAGUGCCAUUCACCAUAAUCCAAUUGAAUUAAGUGUGCUGGGGCGGCAUCGUGGUACCUCGACUCCCAAUGCAGAGUAAGCAGUACUUGCAACCGACAGCUUUAGUCUGCUGAUUUUGGGGGGGUUUCAUAAAGACGAAGACGUGGAAAGGAGAUCCCACAUCACAUCGAUCCGUCGUACCAGGGAGCUUGGUGACACACACAGGCCGACUCUGAUAGUAGCUCGGCAACUACACAAGGAUUUGGACAACAACUUUCAGUGCCGUCUGGGUCGCAGAACAUCUCCAGGCAAUUGCUCUGUGUCAUCAGCUGGAGCUUUGAGUAGCUUUUGAAGGAGACGGGAAAAGACGUCACCAUGGCGUCAGAGAGUCUCCCAUCGGUGAUGUUGAUCACCGCCAAUGUUGGAUCAAUAUUCGAAGAUCCUGAGACUAUGCUCCAGGGAUGGCUUCAUAAAUUUUAUGAGUCCGUACAGACGUUGAAACCCCAGCUUAUAGCGGUCCAUAUGCAAGAAGUCGGAGGCAAGGAUUUUGAGCAGUGCAUGGGAAACGUCGAUGCUUUUGUACAGAGUUUAAUAGACAGUGAGGCGCUCAAGUCUUUCGACCGAUCCCUGGUGUUUCUGGAUAAAGACUUUGCUCUCGUUGAUCAGUUUACGGCACUUGGUAAUUUGUACUUCGUUCACGAAUCUCUGCAGAAUGUACAGCUUUAUGACUUCAAAACAUGCAGGUUCAACACAAUUCAGGGCAAGCAAUUUGUAAAUUUGAUAAACAAAAAGACGAUAUAUGAGAAGGCAAAGUUCCCUCAGAACUUCUUCCCAGGAACGGUGUGGUCAAGAAAAGGUUUCCUGAGAACAAGAUGGAACGUAGAAAACAGGAUAUUUGAUCUUGCCAAUAUUCACCUGUUCCACGACGCCAGCAACAUGGUCGCAAUGGAAACGUUUCCCUCGCCGUACUGUAAAUACAGAAAAAGAGCACUGGAGCAUGUGUUACAAAGAUUCUCCAAGGACAAACAUGACAAUGUCCCUCUGUUCCUCUUCGGUGAUUUCAACUUCAGAUUGGACUCGCAGGGUGUGAUUCAGACUUUGGUUGCCGAGGCAACACCAGAGUACACAAAGGAAGACAAGGAGGUGACGAGAAUAACGUACAAGGACUGUGACGGCAGCAGUAAGGUAAUACUUAUCCUUGAGAAGAAGAGAUUCGAGAUUGAUGACCCAGACAGGUUAAUUGGAGAAAACGCCAAGUGGCUUCUUCCAUUUGACAAGGAGAUGAAGUGUUUCACCAACCAGCUCUACGAGUACGACAGAGAUUUCCCGCCAAGUUACCCAUACAGUGAGGACGUAACAGACGGGCGGAGUUACAUGAAGACAAGAGUCCCCGCAUGGUGCGAUCGCAUCCUGCUCUCCAAGGCGGCGAAGGCCCUCGUCAAGGAGGAUCUCUAUAACAAGGCCAUGUACAGUGUAAUCGGUCAAGAAGUAUGCAUGGGCGACCAUAAGCCAAUUUUUUUAAGCUUCCGACUCGCACCGACCCAAGGUAUGCCAGUAAACCAUAAACGUUCCCCUGCUCGUAAGUGUUGUGUGGUACAGUAGCACACCCCUACCCCUCUUUGACGUCUUCCUGUUCUUGCUGCACUGUUUUUCUGUUUGCCUGAAUGAAGACACCCAAGAACCCUGAGUAUUGUGAUCACGUGACACACCCACAUUGACACCAUACUACAAAGUAUCAGGAGCAUUGGUGUACUACCCCCUCAUAUACAGGGAGACAUCCGUAUAGCACAGGGCUCCACCCUUGGCCCGGGGUUUACCCCCUUCUCUCUUCACCCCUGAGCCUUGACAGUCUCUUCUGAUGCAAUACGAUAAACCAACCUCGGUUGGCCUCCUCAGGUCACAAGAUGGAAAUCUCCUUGUCUUUUCUUCUUUUGCAUUGAAUGAAUAACUCAAGACUGCUUUGUGUGGAACCCUGUGGUAUAAGUAACUCUUAGUUUGUUACAGUUAUUAAGAACAUAAUUGAUGGUUGAUUGACCAUAAAAGUUGCCCAUAAUUUUCUUGAAAUUGCCAGACUUUGAUGAUGCUUUCCUAUUGUGUUGGCAUAGCCAGUUUAUUUUAUGACAGAGCUCAGGAUAGGAUAGUGCCCUCUUACAGUACCACACUGUACAAAAAAAGGUCAUGCAUAAACAUAAAAGUGUCAUCAGGCGCAUGCAUAUUCAUGAACAACAAUUUGUUCUCAUUGGUUAAUUGGUUCUUAUUUGUGUUGUGAGGCAACACAUUAUUGCGGUGCAUUGACCAAUGAGAAUGUAAGAGUCAUGAAUAUGUAUGAUCAGUGUAAAACUAUCUCAUUGUUUUUGUUUUUUAAUGUUACAGUGUAUUUAAUGUUUACUUUGUACAUGUAAUUUUAUGUGUUACGGGUUGUGAGCAAUUGUUGUAGACCUUGACAAAAUUUUUACUGACUAGCCAAGUAAUUUUUAACAUCAGAUUUUUAAGUAAGGAACAAUUUUGUCAUUGAUUUGCAAUUUAGCAUUACCUUUUUGCUUUUUAUUUAGCUUUUUUUAUCCCACAAAUUAAUCUUUUCCUAGUCAUCGGUUACUACAGUCUGUUUUUACAUCUGGAUCACUUGAUGAGGGUUUUUGAAGGCUAAUUCAUGUAUAAUGUUACCAAAAUUUUAGAAAUGCUUCAAUGAUACAGUUAUUUACAAAAUGCUAGUUAAACAUGGAGGGUGUGGUUUUUUGUGUGAAAAUUGUGCAAUUAUUAAAAGUAGCUUUUAUGUUGUUGUGGUAUUUUGUCAUUGUGAAUCCCUGAACCACCCACAAAAUGACUAACUGUUCACCGAUGGAAUAAUUACCUAUAAGGAAGUCAUGGCUUCAAGGUAAAAUUGGCGUGGUUGUUCUGCGAUUGAAGAACCACUUUAUUAACUUAAAAGGCCCCUUAUUUUUUCUGAACUUAUUUAUUAUGCAAGUGAAAACCAAGAGGCUUCUUUACACAGGAUCUGAAUAGGGAUCUUUAUUUCGCACGUCAUCCUAGGAAAAUGUUAACUUCAGUUAGAGUAUACCUCUUAAAAUGUCAUUGAAAAUGACAUUUGUUUAUACAAUUUUUGAUUUAAUUAGCGAUGCACAUAUUAAUCAUGAUGCUUUGAUUGUAACUGCCAGUUUAAUGUGUUGAGAGCAAUUCAUGUUUUAUUGUCAGACCAGCGAUAAUUUAAUAUUUUUGUUCUGGAGACAUGCUGCACAGCAAAUAUUUUCCAAGACUCCUUGUUUUUUUAUGUCAUAGAAGGAAACUUUGGACCGGUUUAGUGAGGAUCCUUCAAAAUAGUUUGUUCAGUCAGUGUUGGUAUGUUUUAAAUUCCGCGAAUUUGCCAAAUCACUGCGCUCCGAUUUUGUAGGUAUUCUUGUGGGAAUUUUAAGAUGAAAAUUAGCUUCCGUCGUUCCUUACAUUAAUAAAGAAGAAUGGCUUGUGACACGGCUUAUAAGUGUCAAUUAACACUAAACCAGAGGACCACGGUCGGCUGUGUGCCUGACAAUUUUUUAAAUGUUGUAAACAAAACUGGAGAUUGUAUCAUAGAAGUGUAUGCAAUGUUUAUCACGAAGAAGAUCAGACAGUACCAAAAAACCCGCAAUAUGGCAAAUCGAGAAUCAAUCGGUUUGAACAAACACAGCGCCCUCACGGGGUGUGCACACGGCCAUUGAGUUGGCUAGCUGUCUGAUUGAACCUCGCAUGGUAUAAUUGGUCUAGCCACUUCGACUGGUGCUAAACACCACUAAAAACUGCUGAUUUGAAAGGUUCAUUCGGAAUUUACUUUAUUUGUAAAAAAAAUAGCAUAUUCUAAUCAUUGAAUGUAUUCAUCUUAAAUAUUUGUGAGAUCUCCAGAUUUUUUUAACUGCAAGACAGUGACUGCAAGAUCGCAUACCGUAUCGGAAAUUGGACAACUUGUGAGGUCAUUACAUGGAAUCGAUAUUAGUUUUGUUAUUUAACACUUUUUACCGACAUCAGAUAUUGCUUGGAUUGGAUUUUAUCCGCCGAACUGUCAAUAUACCAUAAGCGAUAACAUUGUUACACCAUCCCUUUAAAUGCACACGUAUGUUGCAUGAUAUCGGUUCGUACCUGACUGGGUAGAUUGAUCAGUGAAGUAGCAAGGAACUUCAACUAGAUGUGUACAGUCACUGCUGUAUGCAUCUUCAGUUGUUACCCAUGUAUUAUUUUGAGAUAGAAGUUUCAAUCCCGUGAACUAAGGAUGUAAUAUUUAUAAGAUAUCGAAUUGGUAUUAUCUAGAUACAUCUAUCGUUGUAUUGCGAUAUUAUCUUGGUAUCAUCUUGAUAUCAUGUUGUGUUAAAGUUAGCACUUGUCUAGAUAUUAUCUAGUAUGACCUAGAUAUUUUCUAGGUAUAUCGCGAUAUAAUGUCGGGGUUACUAAUAUUUUUCAUUCGUAUUUAUGUCCGAAUCUUUUAAACCACUUACAAAAUGUACAGUUUUUGCCUCUCUUCUUUUAUACACUGUAAAUGUGAAGUUACAAAGACAUUUAUUAACGUUUAGCUGCUUUUAAUAAUGUAUUCCGUAUAAUACUUUAAUAAUAUAAUUAAUCAGUAUUGAAAUAUUUCGUCGUUAAACAAAUUUACCUAGGCCUGUGUAAUAAGGAGUAGAAGGUUACGUUAUGCACCCUUUGUCGCUGCCAACUCGGAACCAAAUACUAUCUGCUCAAAAUUUACAUCCGGCAGUAUAGCCCAGUGACCCAUUGGCGUUAGAAUCGUACAUGUUACGGUGUCAUUGAAAAAAAUGGAUAUCUUUGUUUGGAUUUUGUAGGAAAGGGUGAUUUGAAAACUUUGUUUCCUGAGAAACCAGUUUAAGAAUAGUCGUAACGUAUGCCUAUAAUGGUCGCGGUCAUUUCUUGUUCCUUAAGUUUUAAAAUGUACAGUGGAGCAGUAUUUUCUUUGAUCGAUUUUUUAGCGACAGGCAAUAAUAUAUUGCGGCCGUUGGUAAUGUACCCCGACCCUUUCAACUUUAACUGAUAACACUUGUUCUCUGAUAACGUUCUCAUCAAUCACCGUAUAGUUGGACGGCUUUCGAUUUGAAACGCCUCGUGACAAGGCUAAUACUUUUACCAUGAAUAUUCACGACGCUAUAGCGUAUAGAAUCAACUUGCAUCAAAAUCGUGCGCUUUUUUUUCGAAAAUCUAUAAAGUUUGUUUAAAAAACUGCCAAAAAUACGAUUUUGACAUUUUCACUGGCCAGUCAUUGGCCGGCAUUGGACUCUUAACAAUUUUAAUGUAUUUCUUAAGAGCUUAUGCAAAACAAAUCAUUUUAAAUUUCCAUUGGAUGUCAGUAAUUUUCCUGUCACCAGUUUGGAAAACUGGUCUGCAUAUACGUAUCGGUUUUAGGUCAGGAACAGUCUUUUAUUAUAGUUAUUUUCAACGUGUACAUGGUGUUGUAUAUAGAAUAGAAAAUCGAAUUUUAAGGUGCACUCUUGUUAUUUUUAUAGUCACAGAUACGGGAUGUAUAUUUAUUUUUUAGAAUUGGUGCGGAUCAGAGUAAUUAAGGAAUGUAGCUUUAAAUUAAAAGUCACCAAAAUAAGAUGGUAAAAUCAUUGGCAUGGAAAUGACAGAUCUCUGCGUGCAAAUUGUCGGGCUUAUGCUUUCACACUCGCUUUGAAUUAUUAAGUAUAUAACUAUUAACUAAUUACGUCUGUUUUGUUGAGUCCUGGUUGAGUUUUGUUUUGAUGGGGGUGGUCGGUCGAUUGAUAUCGAUUUGCCUUUGCUCAACGCAUUGACAUCAGUUUUACCUGAAUGGGACGAAUAAUUUGUUGAAUCAGUGCUUCGUUAUCAUCUCAUGGAUUUAAUACUUUACUCAAUCAGUCCAUAUCGUUAAUACGGGAUGAUCAAUUCAUCUCAAUUUUCAAGACAAAAUAGUCAUCGUUCCAUCAAAUUUGAUUUUUUGAAACUUGAACGCUACAUCAUGACCGAGAACCCACAACGUUCAUCGUUUCACUCCCUUUCUUUUCGCGAUAUUAUUUUGGAUUUAUUUCCAGAGAGGGAAUUCGCCUUUCAUCAUGUCUUCAAAAGUCAGUGUAUGAUUUCAGUAACUAAUGGAUAGAAAACACUAUCGUAGAUGCUGUGUAAUUAUGUAUACCUGUUACUCUUUUUAUUCGACUUUCGGUGGCUUCUAUUUUUACAACAGUGUAAACAACAUACCCGACUAAAAAAUCGUUGUUUUUUAUUACAAUGUAUGUAUUGUUUGAGUAUAAUUAUCAUCCCGAUACUGUGAUAGCACCGACGCACAUGUUGUAGUUUUACCAAAAGAGGGAACAAUUGAAGGAGAUCUCAGAAUUGUAUUUAUUUCCCAAAUCAGAUGCAUUUUCAGUAAUGGAUAUUGUGGCAAUACUAAUAUGAUAUACGUAGACCGUACAACUA